rnacentral:lncRNA from 1 species
CGCCCGCAGGCGCCCCCAAGACUCUCCCGCAAAGCCCAAGCCCACUCUCUCCAGCUUUCUAGAUAGUCUGGAAAGACCCCCAGAUGCUUCCCCUGCCUAUCCUUUUCAGCCAGGACCUGCUUUCACUCUUCAAAACUAGCCGGAGGUCGGCGAGCAGCUCCUUUUCGGGAUGUGCUUUUUGUACGGCCAUGGAAACUGGACUAGCGGAAAGGCUACCUUUUGGCCAGCAAGCCAGGCCCCUUAGAAAGAGGCCCCAGUGGGGAGCCCGGCGCUCCUAAGGCCGUUUGGGAGUCCCCAGUUUUCCACUCGCUGACACGUUGCUUCUCUUAUCCCACCACCGCCGCCCCGGGCAAAGGCACUGCCUUGUCUGAAUGCGGGUCUGAGGCGCUUUCUGCGGAGCCUGGUCCUUUCCCUUCAAUGGUGAUGUGUGUGGUCUUGCUGAGCCAGGCAACUAGGGGGACCCUUCGCUGUGGAAAAAUUGGUGCUGCGGGAAAGGCAAGACUCACUCCCUUGCAGGAAACAAAGACCCCUUAGGAGAGAGAAAUGUUCAUGGAAUGAAUGAAUAAACAAGUUUGACCUA